UACGUAGGGUGCAAGCGUUGUCCGGAUUUAUUGGGCGUAAAGAGCUCGUAGGCGGUCUGUCGCGUCGGAUGUGAAAACCCAGGGCUCAACUCUGGGCCUGCAUUCGAUACGGGCAGACUAGAGUAUGGCAGGGGAGACUGGAAUUCCUGGUGUAGCGGUGAAAUGCGCAGAUAUCAGGAGGAACACCGGUGGCGAAGGCGGUUCUCUGGGCCUGACCUGACGCUGAGGAGCGAAAGCGUGGGGAGCGAACAGG
rnacentral:rRNA from 1 species